rnacentral:rRNA from 1 species
CGGGGCGCAGCAGGCGCGAAACCUUCGCAAUGCGCGAAAGCGUGACGAGGUUAAUCCGAGUGGUUCCCGCUGAGGGAAUCUUUUGUUGGCUCUAAAAUGGCCAGUGAAUAAGGGGAGGGCAAGUCUGGUGUCAGCCGCCGCGGUAAUACCAGCUCCUCGAGUGGUCGGGGCGAUUAUUGGGCCUAAAGCAUCCGUAGCCUGUUCUGUAGGUCUUCUGUUAAAUCCAACGGCUUAACCGUUGGCCUGCAGAAGAUACCGCAGGACUAGGAGGCGGGAGAGGUGGACGGUACUCCACGUGUAGGGGUAUAAUCCUUUGAUCCGUGGAAGACCACCAGUGGCGAAGGCGGUCCACCAGAACGCGCUCGACGGUGAGGGAUGAAAGCUGGGGGAGCGAACCGGAUUAGAUACCCGGGUAGUCCCAGCCGUAAGCGAUGCGAGCUAGGUGAUCCAAUCACAAAUCUCGAUUGGAGGUACCGGAGAAGCCAGUAACUUAGCCGCGUGGGAGUACAACGCAUGAGCCAC